AUGUUCUAUUCUAGCAUAGUAUUGAAAAGUGAUAAAGUCAUUUACCAUAGGAUUCCAAAAUCCAACUUAUUCAAGUAUAUAUUCGGGCAGAAGGGUGAAUAUUGGAAAAUGGAGUUUCGGAAUAACUCGGUUGAAGAAAAUGCAGAAAAUCAUCUUUGCGACAGUAUGACGGUCGUCACGCAUACGACGAAAGCAAGUUGA